rnacentral:misc_RNA from 1 species
GAUGAAGAACGUAGCGAAAUGCGAUAAGUAAUGUGAAUUGCAGAAUUCAGUGAAUCAUCGAAUCUUUGAACGCACAUUGCGCCCGCCAGUAUUCUGGCGGGCAUGCCUGUUCGAGCGUCAUUUCAACCAUCAAGCCCCCGGCUUGUGUUGGGGACCUGCGGCUGCCGCAGGCCCUGAAAACCAGUGGCGGGCUCGCUGUCACACCGAGCGUAGUAGAUUUUCAUCUCGCUCAGGGCGUGCUGCGGGUUCCGGCCGUAAAAAGCCUUAUUUACCCAAGGUUGACCUCGGAUCAGGUAGGAAGACCCGCUGAACUUAAGCAUAUCAAUAACGGAGGA